CUGGUGGUGGCCUGAAGGUCCUUGUGGUGGCCAAGGUGGUCCAAGAUGAUCUAAAGGUCAUCCAAGGUGGCCUGAAGGUCCUUGUGGUGGCCAAGGUGGCCUGAAGGUCAUUCAAGGUGGACCAAGGUGGUCUGAAGGUCAUUCAUGGUGGGCCAAGGUGGUCCAAGGUGGCCUGAAGGUCGUUUGAGGUUGUCCAAGGUGGUCCAAGGGUCAUUCAUGGUGGGCCAAGAGUUGUCCAAGGUGGUCCAAGGUGGCCUGCGGGUCAUUUGAGGUCAUCCAAGGUGGUCCAAGGGUGGUCCAAGGGUCAUCCAAGGUGGUCCAAAGGUUGUCUAAGAUGGUCCAAGGGUCAUCCAAGGUGGCCUAAAGGUCAUUUAGGAUGGUCCAAGGUGGUUCAAGGUGGCCUGAGGGUCAUUCCUGGUGGUCCAAGGUGGCCUAAAGGUCAUUUGAGGUCAACCAAGGUGGUCCAAAGGUCAUUCAUGGUGGGCCAAGGUGGUCCAAGAGUCAUCCAAGGUGGUCAAGAGUGGCCUGAGGUUCAACCAAGGUGGUCCAAGAUGGUCCAAGGUGGUCCAAGGUGGCCUGAGGGUCAUUCAAGGUGGUCCAGAGUGGUCCAAGGUGGCCUGAGGGUUGUCCAAGGUGGGCCAAGGUGGUCCAAAGGUCAUCCAAGGUGGUCCAAAGGGCAUUCAAGGUGGUCUGAAGGUCAUAUAGGGUGG